CUUUCCAGGAAAUACCCCAUUCACACAGUACACAGAUAUCAUAUAUAUACACCAUUGUUUCUUUUCCUUCGGAGGGAGACCUAGAGACACCAUCCUCUUCACUCAAAAUAUCGGUACAGUCAUACGCCUAAUCGCAUACACACACGCAAUCCUCUCCCUUCACAGUUCACUCAAAAUCGCACACUAAUCUGCACAUACCCAAAAAAAUAAAGCCGAUUAAUAGAGAGGGUGACGAAUAUAGAGAUAUAGUUAUUUUGGUUUUGGGUUACUGUUCCAGCAACACAGUCGCCGGAUUUCGAUAUUUUUCGUUAGCUUAUUCCCUUCACAGCUCACCGAAGCUUAGAUUCGGACUAGUUUUGAGCUCUCAGUUAGACUUCGGAGACGUUAGUUCUCGUUUGCUCGUCAUUCGUCUUCCGAUAUCGUGCCUUUGAAGGUUUUUGAUACUGAGCCGAUCUAUUUUUCUGUUGCUAUUUUGUUAUGGUUUCAUCGGUCUUCGCUACUGAUUUGAAGAUUAGAAUCUCGUUCGUCUCGAAUUGUUAAUCGCGAUUAGUUUUUAGUCUUCAAUCUUCGAUACCAAAUCUGGGGUUAUUGCAUUUUGGAUUGUUUCUCGACUGAUUUGGAGAGUCGAGAUUUUGUUGGUAUUCUUCGAGGUUAUUGGAUGGCUCUUAUUUCUCUUAUUAAAUCAAUCGAAAACUCCUGAGGGGAAUGCCCCGACGUAUUAUGUACAAGGAGGAUGUGCGUGACGAAGGCCCGAGACAUCGGGUAAAGCCUUGGAGCGUAGUUUAGGAUUAGUAUAGUUUUACUUUUCAGUCCCUUUUUUUAUCUCAGGUUGUAAUAAUUGGACUGGACACUAUAAUUUUGGAUUUGUUUUGUUUGUUUGA